GGGGCAGCGGGGUUGUAGCAAUACAACUGCCGGCGACCGGCGCACGGGUGAGUAACACGUAUGUAACCUGCCCUCUGCAGGGGGAUAAGCGGAAGAAAUUCCGUCUAAUACCGCAUAAUACAAUUUGGAGACAUCUCCGGGUUGUCAAAGGAGUGAUCCGGCAGAGGAUGGACAUGCGGCGCAUUAGCUAGUCGGCGGGGUAACGGCCCACCGAGGCUACGAUGCGUAGGGGUUCUGAGAGGAAGGUCCCCCACACUGGUACUGAGACACGGACCAGACUCCUACGGGAGGCAGCAGUGAGGAAUAUUGGUCAAUGGGCGGAAGCCUGAACCAGCCAAGUCGCGUGAGGGAAGACGGUCCUAUGGAUUGUAAACCUCUUUUGCAGGGGAGCAAGGCGCGGUACGUGUACCGCGAAGGAGAGUACCCUGAGAAAAAGCAUCGGCUAACUCCGUGCCAGCAGCCGCGGUAAUACGGAGGAUGCGAGCGUUAUCCGGAUUUAUUGGGUUUAAAGGGUGCGCAGGCGGACUGUUAAGUCAGCGGUAAAAUGUCGGUGCUCAACACCGGCCGGCCGUUGAAACUGGCAGCCUUGAGUGAGCGAGAAGUAUGCGGAAUGCGUGGUGUAGCGGUGAAAUGCAUAGAUAUCACGCAGAACUCCGAUUGCGAAGGCAGCAUACCGGCGCUCAACUGACGCUCAGGCACGAAAGCGUGGGUA
rnacentral:rRNA from 1 species